GGUCUCAUUGAACUCGCCUGCAGCUCUUGGGCUUUUUGUGGCUUUCUUCGUUAUUGGAGCCAGGCCUACACGCCAGCAACCAUGUCCAAGGGACCUGCAGUUGGUAUUGAUCUUGGCACCACCUACUCUUGUGUGGGUGUUUUCCAGCACGGAAAAGUCGAGAUAAUUGCCAAUGAUCAGGGAAACCGAACCACUCCAAGCUAUGUCGCCUUUACGGACACUGAACGGUUGAUCGGUGAUGCCGCAAAGAAUCAAGUUGCAAUGAACCCCACCAACACAGUUUUUGAUGCCAAACGUCUGAUUGGACGCAGAUUUGAUGAUGCUGUUGUCCAGUCUGAUAUGAAACAUUGGCCGUUCAUGGUGGUGAAUGAUGCUGGCAGACCUUCACUACCUAUUCUGACAACCAGCCUGGUGUGCUUAUUCAGGUUUAUGAAGGCGAGCGUGCCAUGACAAAGGAUAACAACC
rnacentral:sRNA from 1 species